AAAGUCCGUAACAAGGUCUCCGUUGGUGAACCAGCGGAGGGAUCAUUACAGAGUUGCAAAACUCCCACAAACCAUCGCGAAUCUUACCCGUACGGUUGCCUCGGCGCUGGCGGUCCGGAAAGGCCCUCGGGCCCGCCCGGAUCCUCGGGUCUCCCGCUCGCGGGAGGCUGCCCGCCGGAGUGCCGAAACCAAACUCUUGAUAUUUUAUGUCUCUCUGAGUAAACUUUUAAAUAAGUCAAAACUUUCAACAACGGAUCUCUUGGUUCUGGCAUCGAUGAAGAACGCAGCGAAAUGCGAUAAGUAAUGUGAAUUGCAGAAUUCAGUGAAUCAUCGAAUCUUUGAACGCACAUUGCGCUCGCCAGUAUUCUGGCGAGCAUGCCUGUUCGAGCGUCAUUUCAACCAUCAAGCUCUGCUUGCGUUGGGGAUCCGCGGCUGCCGCGGUCCCUCAAAAACAGUGGCGGGCUCGCUAGUCACACCGAGCGUAGUAACUCUACAUCGCUAUGGUCGUGCGGCGGGUUCUUGCCGUAAAACCCCCCAAUUUCUAAGGUUGACCUCGGAUCAGGUAGGAAUACCCGCUGAACUUAAGCAUAUCAAUAA
rnacentral:rRNA from 1 species